CGUCAGUGGUCUGUGCCUUUGUGUUUGUUUUUAUGUAGAAUAUCAACGGCGUUGUGCUAAUGGCGCUUAUACGAGGUCGAAGUUGGUGCGACCAAGAACCCGUUUUGCACGCUGAGACUUCGCAUGGGAGGCAAAACUUGUCGUUACGGCACCACGGCAGUAAAUACAGCCCGUUCGACGACAACUCCCCGUCUCUGCAAACGGCGUGCGAACAGAAAGUGAUGAUCCAGCAACUCAAUGUGACAGUGCCGCCCCUAAAUCUGUUAGUAGACCCACUCAAUGUAAUGGUGCCGCCC